rnacentral:rRNA from 1 species
GUGAAAACGCCCUCUCUCUCCUAGUAAAAGAAAGAGGAGCCGGUAUCAGGCUCAAUUCGCCCAUGACACCUAGCCCCGCCACACCCCCAAGGGUAUUCAGCAGUGAUCAACAUUGUAAACUAGCGUAAGCUAAAUUCAGUUACCAGCUAAAAAAACCGGUCAAUCUCGUGCCAGCCACCGCGGUUAUACGGGCAGGUUUAAAUUGAUAAGAUCGGCACAAAGCGUGGUUAGACCCCCUACCUCAAUAAAGCAAAAAUUAAGCCCGGCUGUAAUAUGCUUACGCUUUUAAUAACUUCAAUCACGAAAGUAGCUUUAACUCUUAUUGAACCCACGAUCGCUAGGGCACAAACUGGGAUUAGAUACCCCACUAUGCCUAGCCCUAAACUUUGACUCACUCCGCCUGGGGACUACGAGCGUCAGCUUAAAACCCAAAAGACUUGGCGGUGCCCUACACCACCUAGAGGAGCCUGUUCUAUAAUCGAUAAUCCCCGAUUCACCUCACCACCUCUUGCCAAUACCGCCUGUAUACCUCCGUCGCCAACUGACCCCUUAAGGGAAUUAGUCGGUUAAAUGGCCUUCUUCCAGUAAGUCAGGUCAAGGUGCAGCGAAUGAGGUGGGAAGAAAUGGGCUACAUUUUCUACUAAUAGACUAUACGAAAGAUCACUAUGAAAUCUGAUUGGAAGGUGGAUUUAGCAGUAAAAAGAGACUAGAGCGCUCUUUUUAAGUUGGCUCUAGGGCGCGCACACACCGCCCGUCACCCCU